rnacentral:rRNA from 1 species
AUUGAACGCUGGCGGCAUGCCUUACACAUGCAAGUCGAACGGUAACAGGUCUUCGGAUGCUGACGAGUGGCGAACGGGUGAGUAAUACAUCGGAACGUGCCCGAGAGUGGGGGAUAACGGAGCGAAAGCUUUGCUAAUACCGCAUACGAUCUACGGAUGAAAGCAGGGGACCGCAAGGCCUUGCGCUCAUGGAGCGGCCGAUGGCAGAUUAGGUAGUUGGUGGGAUAAAAGCUUACCAAGCCGACGAUCUGUAGCUGGUCUGAGAGGACGACCAGCCACACUGGGACUGAGACACGGCCCAGACUCCUACGGGAGGCAGCAGUGGGGAAUUUUGGACAAUGGGCGAAAGCCUGAUCCAGCCAUGCCGCGUGCAGGAUGAAGGCCUUCGGGUUGUAAACUGCUUUUGUACGGAACGAAAAGACUCCUUCUAAUAAAGGGGGUCCAUGACGGUACCGUAAGAAUAAGCACCGGCUAACUACGUGC